rnacentral:rRNA from 1 species
GACGAACGCUGGCGGCGUGCCUAAUACAUGCAAGUUGAGCGCUGAAGGUUGGUACUUGUACCGACUGGAUGAGCAGCGAACGGGUGAGUAACGCGUGGGGAAUCUGCCUUUGAGCGGGGGACAACAUUUGGAAACGAAUGCUAAUACCGCAUAAAAACUUUAAACACAAGUUUUAAGUUUGAAAGAUGCAAUUGCAUCACUCAAAGAUGAUCCCGCGUUGUAUUAGCUAGUUGGUGAGGUAAAGGCUCACCAAGGCGAUGAUACAUAGCCGACCUGAGAGGGUGAUCGGCCACAUUGGGACUUGGACACGGCCCAAACUCCUACGGGAGGCAGCAGUAGGGAAUCUUCGGCAAUGGACGAAAGUCUGACCGAGCAACGCCGCGGGAGUGAAGGAGGGUUUCGGAUCGGAAAACUCUGUUGGUAGAGAAGAACGUUGGUGAGAGUGGAAAGCUCAUCAAGUGACGGUAACUACCCAGAAAGGGACGGCUAACUACGUG